UGAUACAAUAGCUUAAUAGGUAAAGCACCGAAAUCAUAAUUCGUUUUAUAUAGGUUCAAUUCCUGUUUGUUUAA
rnacentral:tRNA from 1 species